GAUUAAGUUAUUAAGGGCGCACGGUGGAUGCCUUGGCACUAGAAGCCGAUGAAGGACGUUACUAACGACGAUAUGCUUUGGGGAGCUGUAAGUAAGCUUUGAUCCAGAGAUUUCCGAAUGGGGAAACCCAGCAUGAGUUAUGUCAUGUUAUCGAUAUGUGAAUACAUAGCAUAUCAGAAGGCACACCCGGAGAACUGAAACAUCUUAGUACCCGGAGGAAGAGAAAGAAAAUUCGAUUCCCUUAGUAGCGGCGAGCGAAACGGGAAGAGCCCAAACCAACAAGCUUGCUUGUUGGGGUUGUAGGACACUCUAUACGGAGUUACAAAGGACGACAUUAGACGAAUCAUCUGGAAAGAUGAAUCAAAGAAGGUAAUAAUCCUGUAGUCGAAAAUGUUGUCUCUCUUGAGUGGAUCCUGAGUACGACGGAGCACGUGAAAUUCCGUCGGAAUCUGGGAGGACCAUCUCCUAAGGCUAAAUACUCUCUAGUGACCGAUAGUGAACCAGUACCGUGAGGGAAAGGUGAAAAGCACCCCGGAAGGGGAGUGAAAUAGAACCUGAAACCGUGUGCUUACAAGUAGUCAGAGCCCGUUAAUGGGUGAUGGCGUGCCUUUUGUAGAAUGAACCGGCGAGUUACGAUUUGAUGCAAGGUUAAGCAGUAAAUGUGGAGCCGUAGCGAAAGCGAGUCUGAAUAGGGCGUUUAGUAUUUGGUCGUAGACCCGAAACCAGGUGAUCUACCCUUGGUCAGGUUGAAGUUCAGGUAACACUGAAUGGAGGACCGAACCGACUUACGUUGAAAAGUGAGCGGAUGAACUGAGGGUAGCGGAGAAAUUCCAAUCGAACCUGGAGAUAGCUGGUUCUCUCCGAAAUAGCUUUAGGGCUAGCCUCAAGUGAUGAUUAUUGGAGGUAGAGCACUGUUUGGACGAGGGGCCCCUCUCGGGUUACCGAAUUCAGACAAACUCCGAAUGCCAAUUAAUUUAACUUGGGAGUCAGAACAUGGGUGAUAAGGUCCGUGUUCGAAAGGGAAACAGCCCAGACCACCAGCUAAGGUCCCAAAAUAUAUGUUAAGUGGAAAAGGAUGUGGCGUUGCCCAGACAACUAGGAUGUUGGCUUAGAAGCAGCCAUCAUUUAAAGAGUGCGUAAUAGCUCACUAGUCGAGUGACACUGCGCCGAAAAUGUACCGGGGCUAAACAUAUUACCGAAGCUGUGGAUUGUCCUUUGGACAAUGGUAGGAGAGCGUUCUAAGGGCGUUGAAGCAUGAUCGUAAGGACAUGUGGAGCGCUUAGAAGUGAGAAUGCCGGUGUGAGUAGCGAAAGACGGGUGAGAAUCCCGUCCACCGAUUGACUAAGGUUUCCAGAGGAAGGCUCGUCCGCUCUGGGUUAGUCGGGUCCUAAGCUGAGGCCGACAGGCGUAGGCGAUGGAUAACAGGUUGAUAUUCCUGUACCACCUAUAAUCGUUUUAAUCGAUGGGGGGGACGCAGUAGGAUAGGCGAAGCGUGCGAUUGGAUUGCACGUCUAAGCAGUAAGGCUGAGUAUUAGGCAAAUCCGGUACUCGUUAAGGCUGAGCUGUGAUGGGGAGAAGACAUUGUGUCUUCGAGUCGUUGAUUUCACACUGCCGAGAAAAGCCUCUAGAUAGAAAAUAGGUGCCCGUACCGCAAACCGACACAGGUAGUCAAGAUGAGAAUUCUAAGGUGAGCGAGCGAACUCUCGUUAAGGAACUCGGCAAAAUGACCCCGUAACUUCGGGAGAAGGGGUGCUCUUUAGGGUUAACGCCCAGAAGAGCCGCAGUGAAUAGGCCCAAGCGACUGUUUAUCAAAAACACAGGUCUCUGCUAAACCGUAAGGUGAUGUAUAGGGGCUGACGCCUGCCCGGUGCUGGAAGGUUAAGAGGAGUGGUUAGCUUCUGCGAAGCUACGAAUCGAAGCCCCAGUAAACGGCGGCCGUAACUAUAACGGUCCUAAGGUAGCGAAAUUCCUUGUCGGGUAAGUUCCGACCCGCACGAAAGGCGUAACGAUUUGGGCACUGUCUCAACGAGAGACUCGGUGAAAUCAUAGUACCUGUGAAGAUGCAGGUUACCCGCGACAGGACGGAAAGACCCCGUGGAGCUUUACUGUAGCCUGAUAUUGAAAUUCGGCACAGCUUGUACAGGAUAGGUAGGAGCCUUUGAAACGUGAGCGCUAGCUUACGUGGAGGCGCUGGUGGGAUACUACCCUAGCUGUGUUGGCUUUCUAACCCGCACCACUUAUCGUGGUGGGAGACAGUGUCAGGCGGGCAGUUUGACUGGGGCGGUCGCCUCCUAAAAGGUAACGGAGGCGCUCAAAGGUUCCCUCAGAAUGGUUGGAAAUCAUUCAUAGAGUGUAAAGGCAUAAGGGAGCUUGACUGCGAGACCUACAAGUCGAGCAGGGUCGAAAGACGGACUUAGUGAUCCGGUGGUUCCGCAUGGAAGGGCCAUCGCUCAACGGAUAAAAGCUACCCCGGGGAUAACAGGCUUAUCUCCCCCAAGAGUUCACAUCGACGGGGAGGUUUGGCACCUCGAUGUCGGCUCAUCGCAUCCUGGGGCUGUAGUCGGUCCCAAGGGUUGGGCUGUUCGCCCAUUAAAGCGGUACGCGAGCUGGGUUCAGAACGUCGUGAGACAGUUCGGUCCCUAUCCGUCGUGGGCGUAGGAAAUUUGAGAGGAGCUGUCCUUAGUACGAGAGGACCGGGAUGGACAUACCUCUGGUGUACCAGUUGUCGUGCCAACGGCAUAGCUGGGUAGCUAUGUGUGGACGGGAUAAGUGCUGAAAGCAUCUAAGCAUGAAGCCCCCCUCAAGAUGAGAUUUCCCAACUUCGGUUAUAAGAUCCCUCAAAGAUGAUGAGGUUAAUAGGUUCGAGGUGGAAGCAUGGUGACAUGUGG
rnacentral:rRNA from 1 species